UACGGAGGAUGCAAGCGUUAUCCGGAUUCAUUGGGUUUAAAGGGUGCGUAGGCGGCCUGUUAAGUCAGUGGUGAAAUCCUGUCGCUCAACGAUAGAAUAGCCAUUGAUACUGAUGGGCUUGAGUACAGAUGAGGUAAGCGGAAUGUGUAGUGUAGCGGUGAAAUGCUUAGAUAUUACACAGAACACCGAUUGCGAAGGCAGCUUACUAAACUGAUACUGACUCUGAUGCACGAAAGCGUGGGGAUCGAACAGG
rnacentral:rRNA from 1 species